GAAGUGGGGAAAUCUUCCAUGUGAACAUCACUUGGACAUGGUCGGUUAGUCGAUCCUAAGAGAUGGGGAAUACUUGUACCAAGGGUGCACUUUGCAUGAACAUCGAAAGAGAAUUGGGUUAAUAUUCCUGAACCGGGACAUGGUGGUGGACGACAAUGUUAGGAAAUAUGGAGAUGUCAUCGGGGGCCUGGGAAGAGUUAUCUUUUCUUUUUAACGACUUUCCCACCCUGAAAUUAGUUCAACUGGAGAUAGGGUUCAACAUCUGAAAGAGAACCACAUUUCUUGCGGUGUUUGGUGCCCCCUCGGCGACCAUUGUAAAUAUGGUGAACCGAGUACCAUCCAUGCCUGAUCGUACUCAUAUCUGCUUCUAACCAUAUUUGACUCAUAUGGUAGAAUAGGAUGAGAGACUACAAGGUCUAAAGGCACCUCA
rnacentral:ncRNA from 1 species